GUUGAAAUACACAUUUAGAGAAUAAUUAUCAGUAUUUAAGCAGAACUGGACUGGAACAUGUUGAGAGAAUCUGCAAUGACAUGCUCCAUGCAGACCCUCUGGGGAGGAUUCAGAACUCAAGGACUUUCCACAACGGGGCCUAGCACCGACACUGUGGUGCACACAGCCCUCUGCUGAAAAUAGUCUGAGUACAGAGGCACCAAACGAGUUCCUUUCUAAUGGCUGCUACCUGAUGUUCCUGUGAGGAAAUUUAACUUGGGAGCACAGGCCACUCUCAAAUGAGAUUCCAGUCACAAAUUCAGCCCCAUGACAAUAAUCAAAACCAAUCAAAUGCAGGAGAUGUGACCUAAAAUAUCAAAAUAAAACUGUUGAUGAAUAUGAACUCCCUUGCAGAAGACACAGCAGGAAUGGGUCAUUAGACCAUAACUUGGUAAGGGUAACAGACAGUAAAGACACUGGACCAAAGAAACCAAGAGAAUUUGGUGGAAUGAGAGGUGAUUAAAACUGGGCAAGUGUGAAAAAAUCCCAGGGACACUGCAACAAGGUUUCUGAAGGUGGGAAUACAAAUGAAAAAUAAAAAUGCAAGGAAUUUUUUAUACAUAGUAACACCUUGAUGGCAUUUGUAUCUCAGCA